GUAAAGGUUUCGACAGGGAUUAGGAAGCGAAAGAAGCGAGUCGGGUGUCGCACGUUAAGUGGCAAAAUUAAAUUUAAUUGCUAACGACGAAAAAUUAGCAAUGGCUGCCUAGUUGCAGCCAGUCUGACCUAAAGCACUCACACUUUAGAAUCAGGCUUCGACUUAUGUGAGAAACGACAUACAUUAAGCUUUGCGUGUAUGGGCGUAUUAUGAAGCUACUAAGGCAUCUAGGGUGUUUGUUCUCGAUUUGCCAAGGGAAUUUCAAAUAACAAACUACACUCGUAGAAGAGUCGUGGAAUGGUUUUUGGACACGGGUUCGAUUCCCGUCUAGUCCACU
rnacentral:tmRNA from 1 species